rnacentral:rRNA from 1 species
UACGAAGGGGGCUAGCGUUGCUCGGAAUCACUGGGCGUAAAGCGCACGUAGGCGGAUUGCUAAGUCAGGGGUGAAAUCCUGGAGCUCAACUCCAGAACUGCCUUUGAUACUGGCGACCUUGAGUCCGGGAGAGGUGAGUGGAACUGCGAGUGUAGAGGUGAAAUUCGUAGAUAUUCGCAAGAACACCAGUGGCGAAGGCGGCUCACUGGACCGGUACUGACGAUGAGGUGCGAAAGCGUGGGGAGCAAACAGG